GCUGAUUUGGAAGAUGAAUCUACGAGAAGUUGCCACUUACAUAAUAAAAAGCAAAAGAGAUGUUCAAGUUCAGAUUUGACUAAUAUCCUCAGUGGGAAGACUUGCGGACCAGGCACUGGAAUUCUCUGAAGGCUUCUCCGAGCAUCUCUCCAUGUCUCUGAGCUCUCUCUCUGUGAUCUUGCUGGUCUGGUGGCUUCGGGGUAGCAGGAUAUCUUAUACAUUGUCUCCAAGCCUCAUGUUUUCAAAGAGAGAGUGGCAUAGAGAAUAGAAAGCCAGAAAAAGGUCUAGAUGCAGUGCCUUCAGCAAUAGCAAGGAGAAUAUGGCAAAGAGCUAAAUCACAUUGUCCACUACUGUGCUUGUCAGGCUAUGAGGACCCCUUUAGGUGCUUUGGGAACUUGAUGUUCAAUGGAAUUAUUUUUCACAUUCGUGGAAAGCAGUUUCUCUUAUGCUGCUCACCACAUGGUGGC
ensembl:lncRNA